GGCGCAGCAGGCGCGCAAACUUUACAAUGCGAGCAAUCGUGAUAAGGAAACCCUGAGUGCCUGUCGAUGCAGGCUGUUCAUAUAUCUAAAUCAUAUGUGAAGAAAGGGCAGGGCAAGACCGGUGCCAGCCGCCGCGGUAAUACCGGCUGCUCGAGUGAUGGCCACUAUUACUGGGUUUAAAGCGUCCGUAGCUUGACUGUUAGGUCUCUUGGGAAAUCUUCGCGCUCAACGUGAAGGCGUCUAAGAGAUACCGGCAGUCUUGGAACUGGGAGAGGUAAACCGUACUUCGGGGGUAGGAGUGAAAUCUUGUAAUCCUCGAGGGACGACCUAUGGCGAAGGCAGUUUACCAGAACAGCUUCGACAGUGAGGGACGAAAGCUGGGGGAGCAAACGGGAUUAGAUACCCCGGUAGUCCCAGCCGUAAACAAUGUGCGUUAGGUGUGUCGGUAACCACGUGUUACUGAUGCGCCGAAGAGAAAUCGUGAAACGCACCACCUGGGAAGUACGGUCGCAAGGCUGAAACUUAAAGGAAUUGGCGGGGGAGCACCACAACAGGUGGAGCCUGCGGUUUAAUUGGAUUCAACGCCGGG
rnacentral:rRNA from 1 species